rnacentral:rRNA from 1 species
ACAUGCAAGUCGAACGGUGAUCCACUCUUCGGAGGGUGAUCAGUGGCGAACGGGUGAGUAACACGUGAGCAACCUGCCCCUGGCUCUGGGACAACCACUGGAAACGGUGGCUAAUACCGGAUACGACCCGCCAUCGCAUGGUGUGUGGGUGGAAAGUUUUUCGGCUGGGGAUGGGCUCGCGGCCUAUCAGCUUGUUGGUGGGGUGAUGGCCUACCAAGGCGACGACGGGUAGCCGGCCUGAGAGGGCGACCGGCCACACUGGGACUGAGACACGGCCCAGACUCCUACGGGAGGCAGCAGUGGGGAAUAUUGCACAAUGGGCGAAAGCCUGAUGCAGCGACGCCGCGUGAGGGAUGACGGCCUUCGGGUUGUAAACCUCUUUCAGCUCCGAAGAAGCGAAAGUGACGGUAGGAGCAGAAGAAGCACCGGCUAACUACGUGCCAGCAGCCGCGGUAAUACGUAGGGUGCAAGCGUUGUCCGGAAUUAUUGGGCGUAAAGAGCUCGUAGGCGGUGUGUCGCGUCUGCUGUGAAAACUCAGGGCUCAACUCUGAGCUUGCAGUGGGUACGGGCACACUAGAGUGCUGUAGGGGAGACUGGAAUUCCUGGUGUAGCGGUGAAAUGCGCAGAUAUCAGGAGGAACACCGGUGGCGAAGGCGGGUCUCUGGGCAGUUACUGACGCUGAGGAGCGAAAGCAUGGGGAG